CAGCCGCCACGGGAAUACGUAGGGCGCAAGCGUUAUCCGGAAUUAUUGGGCGUAAAGAGCUCGUAGGCGGUUUGUCGCGUCUGCCGUGAAAGUCCGGGGCUCAACCCCGGAUCUGCGGUGGGUACGGGCAGACUAGAGUGAUGUAGGGGAGACUGGAAUUCCUGGUGUAGCGGUGAAAUGCGCAGAUAUCAGGAGGAACACCGAUGGCGAAGGCAGGUCUCUGGGCAUUAACUGACGCUGAGGAGCGAAAGCAUGGGGAGCGAACAGGAUUAGAUACCCCCGUAGUCCCUGUCUCUUAUAC
rnacentral:rRNA from 1 species